rnacentral:rRNA from 1 species
GUGUCAGCAGCCGCGGUAAUACGAAGGGGGCGAGCGUUGUUCGGAUUUACUGGGCGUAAAGGGCGCGCAGGCGGCGAUCUUUGUCAGGCGUGAAAGCCCCGGGCUUAACCUGGGAAUGGCGCUUGGGACGGGGUUGCUAGAGUUCGGGAGAGGAGCGUGGAAUUCCCAGUGUAGAGGUGAAAUUCGUAGAUAUUGGGAAGAACACCGGUGGCGAAGGCGGCGCUCUGGACCGAGACUGACGCUGAGGCGCGAAAGCGUGGGGAGCAAACAGGAUUAGAUACCCUGGUAGUCCACGCUGUAAACGAUGUGUGCUAGACGUUGGGGAGCCUAGCUCUUCGGUGUCGCAGCUAACGCGGUAAGCACACCGCCUGGGGAGUACGGCCGCAAGGUUAAA